rnacentral:rRNA from 1 species
GACGAAGGAUGCAAGCGUUAUCCGGAUUCAUUGGGUUAAGGGAGCGUAGGCGGAUUUGUAAGUCAGUGGUGAAAUCUUUGGGCUUAACCCAGAAACUGCCAUUGAUACUGCAGAUCUAGAGUACAGUUGCCGUUGGCGGAAUAUGACAUGUAGUGGUGAAAUACUUAGAUAUGUCAUAGAACACCGAUUGCGAAGGCAGCUAACGAAGCUGUAACUGACGCUGAGGCUACGAAAGGUGCGGGAUCAAACAGG